AUCAGAGAUCCAAAACUAUUUACAAGUACAAAGUACUAAAAUAAAUGCAAACUAGAUUCUUAUUGCAUGAAUUGAGUAACUAAUCAUCUCAUGCUAGUAUCCUAUCUAUGACAAGUAAAGCCAACUCAACGAGCAUAUAUCUAGUAUCAUGAUUUAACUUAUGCUCUUUAAGUGCAGACUGCAGCCUUUUAUGGCUUUUUAUGGUUUAACUAUGCGGUCAACCUUUUAAGGACUUCACAAAAUCCCAGGAUUUGAAAAAGUUGACCAAGAGAUGAGGUAAAGAGAAACCUCAACAGCAGGGAAAUAGCUGUGUAGUAUCAUGAGCAUACAACGAUUUUAGUUUCAAAUAGUGUUAAAUUUGGAAAGAGUGUUAAUCAAAUAAUAAUUUAAUUCAUUUUAAUUCAAACUUAUAUAAGUAAUUAGAUUUCUUUACACAUCAAAA
rnacentral:misc_RNA from 1 species